rnacentral:lncRNA from 1 species
UUUUUCCAAUAGAUCGAUGUAUUCAAAAACAAAGUUCAUUCAUAAUUGACUAUUAUGAUUUAGCAUUCUUCUGCAUGUUAAAUUCGAGAGGCUUUAUUACUACGUACAUUUUACAAGUGAUUAAAAAAACACAUCAUCUAAACGAAACUCCUUUAAUAGAUACCAAAAAGAAAAAGAAGAAGAAAAAAAACAUAGACCAAUGAGCAGGUUUGAAGGGUCUCUUUCCACGAAGUAUCGUAGGAUUUGACACGUUCAAAUGCAGCUGUAAAUUUGCAAUUUCCGAAAGUGAUAGCUUGUGUUAUAUAUAGCUCUAAGCCUCUAUUUAAGUCAUCAAAACAUAGACUUCUAUUUAUAAAAAAAAAAAUAUCAUCCUCAAAAUUAACUAGUAAAAGUAAUCCUUGGUUUCCCCACCAAGUGGCUUCCGUACAGCUAGCUGUACACUCAUCUGAUAGAUUUGUUUUUUUAAUAUGCUGUUAGUUUAAAAAUUAAAUUCCAUCAAUGGUUACUUUUUAAUAUACCAUUAAUCUUUCAAACGUACUAAUAAUAAAAUAAAGAGAACAAUGUAUUCGAAUGUUACUCUAGUAACUUGGCCUUUCACGUCGUGGAGAAUGUCUCCAUUUGAUCUAAGUCAUCGUCUGAAUUCUAUAUCAACUACAACUUUUCAAUAAUGGUUACUUAUGUAGCUACUAUAAACGUCUUGAAUAAUGAAACUAUUUAGUGUUUUACAUAUCUCAUAGGUUAGUUUGAGAUUUCAUUUCAUUGAUAUAUCCUGGUACCCAAAAAAAAAAAAAUCUUGAUAUAAAUUAGGAAUAUAUAGCUACUAGACAUAUGAAACAAAAGUCUGACAUAUCCAUUUGUGAUUAUGCGGGUGAAAUUAAUACUAAUUUUAAAAACACCUGUCAUGCACCAAAAACGUCACAUUCAUACACAAAAACGAUACUAUUUCAUUUGACCACACUUUUGAUUUUAUAAAAAAUAAGCCAAUUAUUAUUAAUUGUCCCAUCCCCCUCCUCUCUC